GGGAAUUUAGAGCAGCAGAGUGUUGAGAGAGAAGUUGCAGAGAAAAAAUAACACUUAGAAAUGCAGAAUAUGCAAGUGAUUUGCUACACGUUUUAUUCCAGAACUGAAGGGGCCUAUAUAUAGGCUUACAAGCAACUGAAAAACCAAAAAAAUCUCAACUAAUAUCAGAUAUUAUUGCCACUAUGUUCAGAUUUAUUUGCUGACCAGUAAAGCGGUACUUAAAGAGCAAGAAUCUGCUGGAAUAAAUAUUAAAGACUAAGUCAAACUUGGAUAAUUUUGAAUCAACUUUCAACACUCCCCCUUGAUUCAAAAUUGCACACACCAAGUAGUGAUCUGAAGUAGACAUGUUUUUGACAUGGUAGAGCCUUUG
rnacentral:lncRNA from 1 species